CCGCUCAGGACGAACGCUGGCGGCGUGCCUAAUACAUGCAAGUCGAGCGGACCGACGGGAGCUUGCUCCCUUAGGUCAGCGGCGGACGGGUGAGUAACACGUGGGUAACCUGCCUGUAAGACUGGGAUAACUCCGGGAAACCGGGGCUAAUACCGGAUGCUUGAUUGAACCGCAUGGUUCAAUCAUAAAAGGUGGCUUUUAGCUACCACUUACAGAUGGACCCGCGGCGCAUUAGCUAGUUGGUGAGGUAACGGCUCACCAAGGCGACGAUGCGUAGCCGACCUGAGAGGGUGAUCGGCCACACUGGGACUGAGACACGGCCCAGACUCCUACGGGAGGCAGCAGUAGGGAAUCUUCCGCAAUGGACGAAAGUCUGACGGAGCAACGCCGCGUGAGUGAUGAAGGUUUUCGGAUCGUAAAACUCUGUUGUUAGGGAAGAACAAGUACCGUUCGAAUAGGGCGGNACCUUGACGGUACCUAACCAGAAAGCCACGGCUAACUACGUGCCAGCAGCCGCGGUAAUACGUAGGUGGCAAGCGUUGUCCGGAAUUAUUGGGCGUAAAGCGCGCGCAGGCGGUUUCUUAAGUCUGAUGUGAAAGCCCCCGGCUCAACCGGGGAGGGUCAUUGGAAACUGGGGAACUUGAGUGCAGAAGAGGAGAGUGGAAUUCCACGUGUAGCGGUGAAAUGCGUAGAGAUGUGGAGGAACACCAGUGGCGAAGGCGACUCUCUGGUCUGUAACUGACGCUGAGGCGCGAAAGCGUGGGGAGCGAACAGGAUUAGAUACCCUGGUAGUCCACGCCGUAAACGAUGAGUGCUAAGUGUUAGAGGGUUUCCGCCCUUUAGUGCUGCAGCAAACGCAUUAAGCACUCCGCCUGGGGAGUACGGUCGCAAGACUGAAACUCAAAGGAAUUGACGGGGGCCCGCACAAGCGGUGGAGCAUGUGGUUUAAUUCGAAGCAACGCGAAGAACCUUACCAGGUCUUGACAUCCUCUGACAACCCUAGAGAUAGGGCUCCCCUCGGGGCAGAGACAGG
rnacentral:rRNA from 1 species